UACGUAGGGGGCAAGCGUUGUCCGGAUUUAUUGGGCGUAAAGAGCGUGUAGGCGGCCAGACAGGUCCGUUGUGAAAACUCGAGGCUCAACCUCGAGACGCCGAUGGAAACCGUCUGGCUAGAGUCCGGAAGAGGAGAGUGGAAUUCCUGGUGUAGCGGUGAAAUGCGCAGAUAUCAGGAAGAACACCCGUGGCUAAGGCGGCUCUCUAGUACGGUACUGACGCUGAGGCGCGAAAGCUAGGGGAGCAAACGGG
rnacentral:rRNA from 1 species